GAUGAACGCUAGCGGCAGGCUUAAUACAUGCAAGUCGAGGGGUAACACGGGUAGCAAUACCUGGUGACGACCGGCAAACGGGUGCGGAACACGUACAGAACCUUCCUUUAAGCGGGGGAUAGCCCAUAGAAAUGUGGAUUAAUACCCCAUAGUAAUAUUGUCUGGCAUCAGAUGGUAUUUAAAGAUUUAUCACUUAAAGAUGGCUGUGCGGCUGAUUAGGUAGUUGGUGCGGGUAACGCCCACCAAGCCAUCGAUCAGUAACUGGUGUGAGAGCACGACCAGUCACACGAGCACUGAGACACGGGCCCGACUCC
rnacentral:rRNA from 1 species